rnacentral:ribozyme from 2 species
UUCAGAACUCAGCCACAGGUUUUUUUGUGCCGGUCCCGAGCCCGGGUAAAUGAGGAGGGGUUUAA